UGGGGCAGUAAUGGACACAGGUCCCACAACAGUUCCCUACACCCUUCCUCCAGAAGUUCCCCGUCUGAUGCCAUUUGUCCUUUGCUUCAGUAAUCCUUUUUUUUAAAUUAUUUACUACUGGGGUUAGAAAUAGACAUCACCAUGCAUGUGUGGAAAUCAGAGGACAGCUGCCAGGAGUCGCGUCUCUUCUCCACCAUGAGGGCUCUGGGAUGGGGCUCAGAUCAUCAGGUUACAAGUGCCUUUACCUGCUCAGCCAUCCUGACACCUGGUUUGUUUUAGUUUUGGUGUUUGGUUAGCUUUGGUUUUACCAACCUGCUACCUCAGCCUCCCACGUAAUGGAGGUACUACCAUGACUGACUUAGUUUAGUCAUUCUUAAGCAUCUAUGUUUCAUCCAUGGCUCUAGGAUCAUGGAAGAGACUAGGGACAGCUGGGUGUAGUGGCAUGCCUCUAAUCCCAGUGUUAGGAGGCUGAGGCAAGAGGACUGCCAUAAGUUUGAGACCAGCCUGAGCUACAUAAUGAGUUCCAGGCUAAUCUGGAUGACAGUGUAAGAUGCUAUCUAAAUAAAUAAAUAAGUCAGGGGACAGUCUGAUGGCUAGCUGGGCAAAGGUAUUUGCUGCCAAGUCUGGCAACUUCAGUUUAAUUCCUGGGACAUGUCUAGAACAACUCAUACAGGAAUGCAUACACAGAAAACAGAUAAACAUUUUUUUAAAGGAGAAGAGACAGGCGUGGUAUUGUAAGGCUUUAAUCCCUGCACUCAGGAGGCAGAGGCAAGCAGGUCUCUGUGAGAUGAAGGCUAGCCUGAGCUAGAGUGAGUUUCAGGACAGCCAGGGCUGUCUAAUGAGACUAUCUC
rnacentral:lncRNA from 1 species